rnacentral:rRNA from 1 species
GAUGAACGCUAGCGGCAGGCUUAAUACAUGCAAGUCAAGGGGUCAGCAAUGGCACCGGCGCACGGGUGAGUAACGCGUACACGACCUACCUUCUACUGGGGGAUAGCUUUGGGAAACUGGAGGUAAUCCCGCAUAAGACCACGGAUCUGCAUGGAUUUGGGGUAAAAACUACGGUGGUAGAAGAUGGGUGUGCGUAUGAUUAGGUAGUUGGUAGGGUAACGGCCUACCAAGCCGACGAUCAUUAGGGGGCGUGAGAGCGUGGCCCCCCACAUGGGUACUGAGACACGGACCCAACUCCUACGGGAGGCAGCAGUAGGGAAUAUUGGGCAAUGGACGGAAGUCUGACCCAGCCAUGCCGCGUGAAGGAUGAAGGUCCUCUGGAUUG